CUCCUGCCUAAAGGAAUUUUCAGGUAGCAGAAGAAAAAUUUCUCAAGGUCAAAAUGCAGUUAAAACGACAAUCCAAGAUAAUUGAAAGCUGGCUGGAAGUGUGUUUCACUGAAGCGUGAAGGCUAUGCAGUCUCACUACAGAUUUCCUAAAGGUAACCAUCAGGGUGGAUAUUUUCAAGAAUGAGAGCUCUACAGAGGCAUAUGAGCAUUUGUAUUGAAGAACAGUGAGAAUGACAUGAUCAGUGUUGGACCACUAUAUGAAGGUUUUAAGUUAUGAAAUAAACUAAAUAAUAGCGUUUCUUUGGAAUAUGGGGGAAAGGGUUACUUGGGCAAUUUUAGCUCAUUAAUUGAAUGUUUUAGGACAGCAUCUUUGAAAAGGCUCAUUGAAUUAUUUCAUCCUAAUUUAAAUGUAAAUCUUUUCUAGAUCCAAUUACUUGCAAUAAUUUCUUUUAAAUAAAU